rnacentral:tRNA from 1 species
GCCCUGGUGAUUCUGUGGUAGAAUGCUCACCUUUCAUGAUGGAGACCCAGGUUCAAUUCCUGGCCAGUGCA